AUUGAACGCUGGCGGCAGGCUUAACACAUGCAAGUCGAGCGGGGGAAGGUAGCUUGCUACCGGACCUAGCGGCGGACGGGUGAGUAAUGCUUAGGAAUCUGCCUAUUAGUGGGGGACAACAUCUCGAAAGGGAUGCUAAUACCGCAUACGUCCUACGGGAGAAAGCAGGGGAUCUUCGGACCUUGCGCUAAUAGAUGAGCCUAAGUCGGAUUAGCUAGUUGGUGGGGUAAAGGCCUACCAAGGCGACGAUCUGUAGCGGGUCUGAGAGGAUGAUCAGGCAGACUGGGACGGAGACACGUCCCCGCCUCCUACGGGAGGCAUCGGUGGGGAGUAUUGGACAAUGGGGGGAGCCCUGAUCCAGCCAUGCCGCGUGUGUGAAGAAGGCCUUAUGGUUGUAAAGCACUUUAAGCGAGGAGGAGGCUACUCUAGUUAAUACCUAGGGAUAGUGGACGUUACUCGCAGAAUAAGCACCGGCUAACUCUGUGCCAGCCGCCGCGGUAA
rnacentral:rRNA from 1 species